rnacentral:rRNA from 1 species
CGGCUCAGGGUGAACGCUGGCGGCGUGCCUAAUACAUGCAAGUCGAGCGAACAGAUAAGGAGCUUGCUCCUUUGACGUUAGCGGCGGACGGGUGAGUAACACGUGGAUAACCUACCUAUAAGACUGGGAUAACUUCGGGAAACCGGAGCUAAUACCGGAUAAGAUUUUGAACCGCAUGGUUCAAUAGUGAAAGACGGCCUUGCUGUCACUUAUAGAUGGAUCCGCGCCGUAUUAGCUAGUUGGUAAGGUAACGGCUUACCAAGGCAACGAUACGUAGCCGACCUGAGAGGGUGAUCGGCCACACUGGAACUGAGACACGGUCCAGACUCCUACGGGAGGCAGCAGUAGGGAAUCUUCCGCAAUGGGCGAAAGCCUGACGGAGCAACGCCGCGUGAGUGAUGAAGGUCUUCGGAUCGUAAAACUCUGUUAUCAGGGAAGAACAAACGUGUAAGUAACUGUGCACGUCUUGACGGUACCUGAUCAGAAAGCCACGGCUAACUACGUGCCAGCAGCCGCGGUAAUACGUAGGUGGCAAGCGUUAUCCGGAAUUAUUGGGCGUAAAGCGCGCGUAGGCGGUUUUUUAAGUCUGAUGUGAAAGCCCACGGCUCAACCGUGGAGGGUCAUUGGAAACUGGAAAACUUGAGUGCAGAAGAGGAAAGUGGAAUUCCAUGUGUAGCGGUG